rnacentral:rRNA from 1 species
UACGUAGGGUGCGAGCGUUAAUCGGAAUUACUGGGCGUAAAGUGUGCGCAGGCGGCCGCGCAAGUCGAGUGUGAAAGCCCCGAGCUUAACUUGGGAAUUGCGCUCGAAACUACGUGGCUGGAGUGUGGCAGAGGAAGGUGGAAUUCCACGUGUAGCGGUGAAAAUGCGCAGAUAUCAGGAGGAACACCGGUGGCGAAGGCGGGUCUCUGGGCCGUAACUGGACGCUGGAGGAGCGAAAGCGUGGGGGAGCGAACAGG